GAUGAUGAUUUUCCUUCAUAAUAAUAAAAUGAUAGCUGGAAAUGGAUUACAUUUUGAUUGUGCCAAUAACAAAUAAAGAUGAUUAUGUUGAUUGUUGAUAACUUCAACUAACAAUCUCGUCUCGAAUGACGUUAUGUUAUUUUUUGUUUUGUUUACUAACUGUACUUUCCGUUUACAACGAGUAGGUGUUGACCAUGAAACAGCAAAGACACACACAAAUUCCAAUUAUUCACCAAGUUAGAGGAUUGAGAAAAGUUUUUUUUUUCUCUCGAAAUUGUCUCAACAUUUACCUUAAUCACUGCCAUCAUUAUUUUUUCUCACUUUUCUUUUAUUCUCCUGAUUAAUUUGACCAUCAUUUUUCUCAUCAUAUUACUACAGGUAAUGUAUU